rnacentral:rRNA from 2 species
UUGCCCUAGUAACGGCGAGUGAAGCGGCAACAGCUCAAAUUUGAAAUCUGGCCUCCUUCGGUGGUCCGAGUUGUAAUUUGCAGAGGGUGCUUUGGCGUCGGCAGCGGUCUAAGUUCCUUGGAACAGGACAUCACAGAGGGUGAGAAUCCCGUACGUGGUCGCCUGCCUUCGCCGUGUAAAGCCCCUUCGACGAGUCGAGUUGUUUGGGAAUGCAGCUCUAAAUGGGAGGUAAAUUUCUUCUAAAGCUAAAUACUGGCCAGAGACCGAUAGCGCACAAGUAGAGUGAUCGAAAGAUGAAAAGCACUUUGGAAAGAGAGUCAAACAGCACGUGAAAUUGUUGAAAGGGAAGCGCUUGCAGCCAGACUUGCCCGCAGUUGCUCAUCGGAACUCUUGCUCCGAGCACUCUUCUGCGGGCAGGCCAGCAUCAGUUUGGGCGACCGGAUAAAGGCCUCUGUCAUGUAUCUUCCUUCGGGAUGACCUUAUAGGGGAGGCGUAAUGCGGCCAGCCCGGACUGAGGUCCGCGCAUCUGCUAGGAUGCUGGCGUAAUGGCUGUAAGCGGCCCGUCUUGAAACACGGACCAAGGAGUCUAACAUCUAUGCGAGUGUUUGGGUGUCAAGCCCGGGCGCGUAAUGAAAGUGAACGGAGGUGGGAACCCUCUCGCGGGGGUGCACCAUCGACCGAUCCUGAUGUCUUCGGAUGGAUUUGAGUAAGAGCAUAGCUGUUGGGACCCGAAAGAUGGUGAACUAUGCUUGAAUAGGGUGAAGCCAGAGGAAACUCUGGUGGAGGCUCGCAGCGGUUCUGACGUGCAAAUCGAUCGUCAAAUUUGGGCAUAGGGGCGAAAGACUAAUCGAACUAUCUAGUAGCU